GUGGGGAAUUUUCCGCAAUGGGCGAAAGCCUGACGGAGCAAUGCCGCGUGAGUGACGAAGGCCUUCGGGUUGUAAAGCUCUGUCUUCAGGGACGAAAACAAUGACGGUACCUGAGGAGGAAGCCACGGCUAACUACGUGCCAGCAGCCGCGGUAAUACGUAGGUGGCAAGCGUUGUCCGGAAUGACUGGGCGUAAAGGGCGUGUAGGUGGAUUGAUCAGUCGGAUGUGAAAUACCCGGGCUUAACCUGGGAGCUGCAUUCGAUACGGUCAGUCUUGAGUGCAGGAGAGGGCAGUGGAAUUCCCAGUGUAGAGGUGAAAUGCGUAGAGAUUGGGAGGAACACCAGUGGCGAAGGCGGCUGCCUGGACUGUAACUGACACUGAGGCGCGAAAGCGUGGGGAGCAAACAGGAUUAGAUACCCGGGUAGUCC
rnacentral:rRNA from 1 species